rnacentral:rRNA from 1 species
CAGUAGCCACGGUAAAACGGAGGAUCCAAGCGUUAUCCGGAAUCAUUGGGUUUAAAGGGUCCGUAGGCGGUUUAGUAAGUCAGUGGUGAAAGCCCAUCGCUCAACGGUGGAACGGCCAUUGAUACUGCUGAACUUGAAUUAUUAGGAAGUAACUAGAAUAUGUAGUGUAGCGGUGAAAUGCUUAGAGAUUACAUGGAAUACCAAUUGCGAAGGCAGGUUACUACUAAUUGAUUGACGCUGAUGGACGAAAGCGUGGGGAGCGAACGGGAUUAGAUACCCGCGUAGUCCCUGUCUCUUAUAC